AGAGCGAACGCUGGCGGCAGGCCUAACACAUGCAAGUCGAGCGCCCGUAGCAAUACGGGAGCGGCAGACGGGAUAGUAACACGUGGGAACGCGCCCUUCGGUUCGGAAUAACUCAGGGAAACUUGAGCUAAUACCGGAUACGCCCUUACGGGGAAAGAUUUAUUGCCGAAGGAACGGCCCGCGUCCGAUUAGCUAGUUGGUGAGGUAAUGGCUCACCAAGGCGACGAUCGGUAGCUAGUCUGAGAGGAUGACCAGCAUCACUGGGACUGAGACACGGCCCAGACUCCUACGGGAGGCAGCAGUGGGGAAUAUUGGACAAUGGGCGCAAGCCUGAUCCAGCCAUGCCGCGUGGAUGAUGAAGGCCUUAGGGUUGUAAAGUCCUUUUAACGGGGAAGAUAAUGACGGUACCCGUAGAAUAAGCCCCGGCUAACUUCGCGCCAGCAGCCGC
rnacentral:rRNA from 1 species